ACGACUGUACUCUCUAAUUUUUGCCUUGGCCUCCAGAAAUAAUAGUGUAUUUUCAAAUUCUUUCUUAUCAAACCUGAGUGUGUGUUAUUAUUGCACCACCAAUAUCCAAUUUGAUAACCAGUACGCAUGUACCCAAUGGUUUGGUUGUCUAAUUUUCUAAUUGUAAUUUCUAAUUCUAGUGUGAAAGUCAAUAGUUCCCUUUUUUGUCAUGGUAACGUUGUGGGCAUUUUCUAUUCUUGGCUCACAUGGGUGAGCUUAUAUGCUUACGAUUUCAUCUUGUCCAGCAUUGUUGGCUUUGACUUUGUCUGUCGUUAAGCACUUUUAUCAUAUACCCUAAGUGCAGUGAUCUGGCAGACGUAUAUGAUAAAUAGAAAACUGCACGAGUGUCUGAUCCGAGUAUCCAGAUUGCACUCGAUGAUUUUCUACGCAGGUCGAGAGCUUUUCAAGCCGUAGAAAAUCAUCUCGUGCAAUCUGGAUACUCGGAUCAGACACUCGUGCGGUUUUCUUAUUGUACAUGUACAUGUAAGAAGCACUAUCAAUGGAAACACGUACCACUUUUUUCAGAAAAGAAAAGCCAGCAAGGGAAAAGCAAGCAAGGCGAAGGGAGACUAUUGCGCAGCUGAGAGAAUAGACAACUACGACCCCAAAAACAACACGUAUUACAUAAAGUGGCAAGGAUAUGAUGCGUCCCACAACUCAUGGGUGAAAGCGGAAGACGUAACUUCUCCUCUCAUCUCUUCUUACAAAGAGAAAUUAGGUUUCGGAACGCACAAGAAGUGAUGCACCUCAUGUCUUUCGAUUGUUGAAAAAAUUGAUGUGAAUUUGUGCAAAUCCUCCCGCCUGUGUUUUUUUGUUCAGUGGAAUUCACGUAUUUCGGUAUUCCUUCUUCACCUCCACGCAUUAUUCAUUCUGACAUAAACUCACAUGAUCACUUUUGAUGAAAGAUUACAUAAUGGAUAAUAUUGAAUUCGCACAAAUAUAGUACAAUGUAAACUUAUCAUAUCUUUCAAAGGUCUCAUUAAAAGUAAAUGUAAGUUACAUGUACAUGUACUGUGGAAUUAUUGUUUUUUCAGACAAUCUGUGGCUGUUGUAUACAUGUAUCAUUCAAUAAACGUGGCGUUUUU